rnacentral:lncRNA from 1 species
GUGUUAGUUCUGUCGAUGUCACAGUGCGCUCCACGUGUGCCUCACAGAAGCACGUGACGCCUGGGCUGACUGGGCACAGACCAGCUACACACAACCUUUGAGGGUCCAAAUGGGCGAGUGUGACCAUCCUGCAGGAAAACGGCCUGUAGCAGAAAGUGGGGAGCAGUCUGUAAGGCUGGAGACAGAUGAGUAGGAGCUUGAUACAAGUCAGCCCCCUUUGUGCAUUGCUAAGAUCCAGAGGGCGGAGCAACCUUCUUGUGAUCCAGCAAGACCCUGCAUAAAGUCUGGUCCCUCGUUACAUACUUGCGGAAUUGAAUGUGAGGACGCAGGUGCAGCCCCAGCACAGGUGCAGGCCUCAGGAAAUGAACGGCCUAAAGGGGAAUUGGACAGUAAUGCACCACACGCUGCAACAGGGCUUCUUUCAAGAUUUAUAGAAGCAAAAGCUUUAAAGGACGACUGCCC